rnacentral:piRNA from 1 species
UGAAAGGUAGUUCUACAUCCAUCCAA